ensembl:lncRNA
GAGAACAGGUAGAGGACUGGAGGACAGAGAACAGGUAGAGGACUGGAGGACAGAGAACAGGUAGAGGAGUGGAGGACAGAGAACAGGUAGAGGAGUGGAGGACAGAGAACAGCUGGAGGAGUGGAGGACAGAGAACAGGUAGAGGAGUGGAGGACAGAGAACAGGUAGAGGACUGGAGGACAGAGAACAGGUAGAGGACUGGAGGACAGAGAACAGGUAGAGGACUGGAGGACAGAGAACAGGUAGAGGACUGGAGGACAGAGAACAGUAGAGGACUGGAGGACAGAGAACAGCUGGAGGAGUGGAGGACAGAGAACAGGUAGAGGACUGGAGGACAGAGAACAGCUGGAGGAGUGGAGGACAGAGAACAGGUAGAGGAGUGGAGGACAGAGAACAGGUAGAGGACUGGAGGACAGAGAACAGGUAGAGGACUGGAGGACAGAGAAGAGGACUGGAGGACAGAGAACUAGAGGACUGGAGGACAGAGAACACAG